UACGAAGGGGGCUAGCGUUGCUCGGAAUUACUGGGCGUAAAGGGUGCGCAGGCGGCGUCGCAAGGCAGGCGUGAAAUCCCCGGGCUUAACCUGGGAACUGCACUUGAAACUACGAUGCUGGAGUAUGGCAGAGGGAGGUGGAAUUCCACGUGUAGCGGUGAAAUGCGUAGAGAUGUGGAGGAACACCGAUGGCGAAGGCAGCCUCCUGGGCCAAUACUGACGCUCAUGCACGAAAGCGUGGGGAGCAAACAGG
rnacentral:rRNA from 1 species